GAUCACCUCCUUUCUAAGGAAUUAAUCGGAAACCUACACAUUGUCGAAACAAUGUUCAGUUUUGAGGGGUUUACCUCUCAGCUUGUACUUUGAAAACUAAAUAAUAUCAGUUUCUAAUAAAAUCAAGAAAACCGAUAACACCGCGUUAUUUGAGUUUUUAACGAAUUAUAAUCGCAUACUCAACUAACUUGACUGAUC
rnacentral:misc_RNA from 1 species